rnacentral:rRNA from 1 species
UACGUAGGUGGCAAGCGUUGUUCGGAUUUACUGGGCGUAAAGGGCGCGUAGGCGGCAAUUCAAGUCAUCUGUGAAAUCUCCGGGCUUAACCCGGAACGGUCAGGUGAUACUGUUUUGCUAGAGUGCGGAAGGGGCCAUCGGAAUUCUCGGUGUAGCGGUGAAAUGCGUAGAUAUCGAGAGGAACACCAGAGGCGAAGACGGGUUGCUGGGCCGACACUGACGCUGACAGCGCGAAAGCCAGGGGAGCAAACGGG